rnacentral:rRNA from 1 species
CCCUACGGGGUGCAGCAGGCGCGAAAACUUCGCAAUGUGGGAAACCACGACGAGGGGAUUCCAAGUGCCAUGGCAAUGCUAUGGCUGUUCAUGUGCCUAAAAAGCACGUGAAGUAAGGGCUGGGUAAGACGGGUGCCAGCCGCCGCGGUAAUACCCGCAGCCCUAGUGGUGAUCGCUAUUAUUGAGCCUAAAGCGUCCGUAGCCGGUCUGAUAAAUCCUUGGGUAAAUCGGUCAGCUCAACUGCCCGAAGUCCGAGGUGACUGUUAGACUUGGAACCGGAAGAGGUCAGAGGUACUCCAGGGGUAGGGGUGAAAUCCUGUAAUCCUUGGGGGACCACCAGUGGCGAAGGCGUCUGACUAGAACGGAUCCGACGGUAAGGGACGAAGCCCUGGGGCGCAAACCGGAUUAGAUACCCGGGUAGUCCAGGGUGUAAACGCUGCAGGCUUGGUGUCGGGGGUCCUACGAGGGCACUCGGUGCCGGAGAGAAGUUGUUAAGCCUGCCGCUUGGGGAGUACGGUCGCAAGACUGAAACUUAAAGGAAUUGGCGGGGGAGCACAGCAACGGGAGGAGCGUGCGGUUCAAUUGGAUUCAACGCCGUAAAACUCACCGGGAGCGACGGUUACAUGAAGGUCAAGCUGAUGACUUUACCAGAUUUUCCGAGAGGUGGUGCAUGGCC